UACGUAGGGUGCGAGCGUUGUUCGGAAUUACUGGGCGUAAAGGGCGCGUAGGCGGUGUGUCAAGUCAGGCGUGAAAGCCCCGGGCUCAACCUGGGAACCGCGCUUGAGACUGGCACGCUAGAGUUCGGGAGAGGAUGGUGGAAUUCCCAGUGUAGAGGUGAAAUUCGUAGAUAUUGGGAAGAACACCGAUGGCGAAGGCAGCCAUCUGGACCGACACUGACGCUGAGGCGCGAAAGCGUGGGGAGCAAACAGG
rnacentral:rRNA from 1 species